UUCGCAAUGCCCGAAAGGGCCUGACCUAUCCCGAGAACAAGCACGGGCUAAGUUCGUGCCAGCAGCCGCGGUAAGACGAACCGUGCGAACGUUGUUCGGAAUCACUGGGCUUAAAGGGCGCGUAGGCGGGCGACCCGGUCGGGGGUGAAAUCGUUCGGCUCAACCGGACAACAGCCUUCGAUACCGGCCGCCUGGAGGGGGGUAGGGGCGUGUGGAACUUCCGGUGGAGCGGUGAAAUGCGUUGAUAUCGGAAGGAACUCCGGUGGCGAAAGCGACACGCUGGACCCCGCCUGACGCUGAGGCGCGAAAGCCAGGGGAGCGAACGGGAUUAGAUACCCCGGUAGUCCUAGCCGUAAACGAUGGGCACUAAGUAGAGGGGUUUUAAUC
rnacentral:rRNA from 1 species